rnacentral:rRNA from 1 species
UUGAACGCUGGCGGCAGGCCUAACACAUGCAAGUCGAGCGGUUGAGGGAAGCUUGCUUCCUGAUUCAGCGGCGGACGGGUGAGUAAUGCCUAGGAAUCUGCCUGGUAGUGGGGGACAACGUUUCGAAAGGAACGCUAAUACCGCAUACGUCCUACGGGAGAAAGCAGGGGACCUUCGGGCCUUGCGCUAUCAGAUGAGCCUAGGUCGGAUUAGCUAGUUGGUGAGGUAAUGGCUCACCAAGGCGACGAUCCGUAACUGGUCUGAGAGGAUGAUCAGUCACACUGGAACUGAGACACGGUCCAGACUCCUACGGGAGGCAGCAGUGGGGAAUAUUGGACAAUGGGCGAAAGCCUGAUCCAGCCAUGCCGCGUGUGUGAAGAAGGUCUUCGGAUUGUAAAGCACUUUAAGUUGGGAGGAAGGGCAGUCAGCGAAUACCUUGCUGUCUUGACGUUACCGACAGAAUAAGCACCGGCUAACUCUGUG